AACAAACCAAUUGGACCUUUCAAGGUGAAUAUGUAUCACCAUAACAGAGUUUACUGUACUGAUAAAUGUGUGACUGGUGACUUUCCUGCUCUUCCUGAAGAAGAUGCACCUUCCUGAGCAAUUUCUUUUUCCCAACAGAGCAAAACGGAGCUUUUUCUUAUUGUAAGCACAUAUUUUUCACAGUAUUUCUUAGCAUUUCUAGCACAGAUCAAGAACGCAGCAUUUACCUCUGAAGUAUUCUCUGCUGACAUCUACAGAAAUUUUCAUGCCCUUCAGAUUUAAUUUUGUGUAGAAUAAUGCAUGGUAUAAUAUGUAGGUCCUGUGUUUUCAAUUAAGCUGUAUUAGGUAACUAUGCUCUUCUUUCAUAUCCCAUAGCAAAGUAUCAAUAUCCAGAUGGCAGUGUGCUGGGAUAAAAGAUAGCUACAGGCUUGGCUGCUACUGUAAAGCCAAGAACAAACAUUUUAGCCUGUGUGAUAAAUAAAACCCAGGUUGAGACUCUCGGCGUAUUGGAGUUGCACUAAAUAAUUCUACAGUGCUGUUUAUUACUGGUUUCAUUGGAUAAUAUGCAGCUGUAAAACCUGCUUGAAGCUUUUAUUAAGAAUACUCUGUCAUUAUAAAAAGGUGCCCACGACUUCUUUAUGGUAUUGGCAGUGCGAGAAUUACUUUGUUUGUGCUGACUUUCUGGCUUUUAUCUAGGAAGGACCUUGCUGUCUCCCAGCUCCUGUGGGCAUUAGGUUUCAUGGAGGUCUCUUGGGAAGAGGGCAGCUCUGUAGAGCCUAAGUUUCCAAAGUAAUUUUAAAGAUUGCACCCAAGACAGAAGUAGUGAGAUCCACAGUGGGGAAAAUGAACCCAGCAGUCCAUCCUGUCCUGUACCUGCCGGAAUAUGGGAAGAGACCUAGUAUAAAGCCAGAGUGCAGCUGGGCUUGCAGUCUUUUUAACCAUAUUAAGUCCUGUUCAGAGUUAAUGAUGAGCUCAGUGAGAUGGUCUCAGCAAUGCUGAAGAAGGGAAGGAUAGAAUUGGAAGGCAGGAGCUAUUUCAAAGCAGGAUUCUUCAUCUUUCUGUAAUGCCCAAAUAUGAAGACUUUAUAAACUUCAUUAGGUAGAGUAUUGCUAAUAGUGUCAUAUCAGUAAUGUUGCAUGAUGUAAUAUGGCAUUGCUAUAUUGUUUGGUGAUCAUGUGGAGCUGCAUUAAAUAGAUGAACAUAUGCCAGUGACUUAAAUGAACAUUGUGAGUGAGGGCAGUAAGUGGAGAAGGAGGGUACUAGAGGAAAUGCUAGUAGCCUUUUUUAUGCCAGGUUCUUUCUUUUUUCAGUUCUUUCUAUAACCAGUAGUUCUUUUCUUUCUUGAUCAAGAUGGAAUAAAGAAAAAUAUCUUUUUAUUUAAGAAAUUGAAUCUAGUUUAACUUCUUAACUAGAAAGACCUCACAGUUCUACUAGCUGUUAGAGCAUCUUAAUGCUUUGUCCAGCAGGAAAUUGCACUCAUGGUGCUGACCCAGUAAGAUGUGUAGUGCAGCAGCAUGUGCUGCUCUUGCUCCUCAGGGCUUGUGAAAUGUCUGCUGUGGCACAGCCCUCUGUGACCUCUUGCAUUGAAGGAUGGAAUUCAUGAGUCCUUUUCUGUCUGGAGCUUGUGGGAGUUCCCUCCUGAACCAAAUAGUUCUGAAAUACUGCAGAAAAAGAUCUGACACUGUUGUCUGGGAGAUGUGACUGACUUAAUUAUUAUUAACAUUUAUUAAGUGCCUUACAAUGGAGUGGAAGAGCCUUUUUUAUAAAUAGGAGAACUGGCAUGUGAGGAAGAAUGAAUCUCUUCUAUCUUCUGCAAUUCUUGACCCACCUAAUUAGGUGAUUGUCAUAAGAAAUGAGGAGCUGGCUCAGGGGAGCGGCACUGGGGGAAGCUGCCGCCGCGUUCCGUACGCACCGCGCUUCUCCCUCGCACAAUGGCUUAGCCUGGUGAGCAGGGCUUCCCUCUGUCAGUGUGCUGGGCCAGGGGGCAGAUUUAAAAGGCCUGAGGAGCCUGAGGCUGUCUAUUGGAUAGCUUCAUUAUAGAUCUCAUCCAGGGAAAAAGUGGGGAACUGCAGCUCAUUUCUAGGAGCUACUCUGGUUUUUAGCAAUUCCUCACCCACUGCCUCUUCCCGCUUCCUUUCGCUGUGGAGUGGCCUUUCCCCACAAUAAGCUGAUUCUCUUCAUGGCUGAUAUUUACACUUAGUUAGCCUCUAAGGCACUAACUGCUUCUUCUGGUCUAAGACUUCAGUUUCUUUUUUUUAAAAAUAAUUUAUUUUGCUAAGAAAGGGAAUCUGUCCAGCUGUUGCAAACAAUAGUGGUUUUGAUGUAUAUCAAUAAAGUGUUAGAGAUGUAUGUUUUCCAUGUAGAAGAUAAAGAGACUUAAAGCCUGCUUUAAAGGAAGGCAAACCUUGGAGAGGUUUACUUAGAUGUACAAUAUGCCCUAUUCUUUCAUUUUUAAAAACAGUAUUAAGGGAUUCUUUUCAAGAAAAGAAGAAAUAAUUUCAUCUUUUUGGUUGCAUUUUUUUCGUAGUCUCACAGUUGUAAGAUAAAUAUUCAGAAUUAGGAGUUGCUAAGGUUAAUGUGAUUAAAAUGAGUAUGUGAUAACAGGCUCUGCACAUUAAAGAUUAAGAGCUCAAAUUAUAGACUCCAGAGGGAAACACUCCAUGAGCAUUUGUAAAUUCUGUUUGUGCAAGAAAUGCAGGCUUAAGCCUAAGGUUGAAGUUGCACAGUUUUAUUAUGAUGUAUCUGCAGAGAAUUCUAUAAAACAUUGUAGUGUUGGGGUGAAAAUGGUGGGGGGACAAAUGAGGAAAUAAUUUUGGUCUAAGCAUUAGUGUUACUCUAUAGAAAUAGAUUGGUUUUACACAAUUUAUUCACAUUUGCAAAGGUCAGUUUAUAGCAUUCUGAGUGCAGUAGUUCAUUCUUUAUGUAUAAAUUGAUCCUUUAUAUAGAUAUAAUUCCAUAUACAACAUUUAAUCUUUGAAUGCAAGUUGAAAAUAUAUUAGCAAUUAAUUUAUGUAGGUUAUGACUUUCUUUCCCGUGUACUCUGCAGUAGUUCCUACCCUAAAGUAGAGUCAGUGUGUGCUUAAUGAAAAUUAGAUGUGAAAUGUAAUAUGUAGAGGACAAAGAAGCAUUGAAAGCCUUAUUGCUCUUAAAAAGACAAAGGUACCUCAGAUAAUUCUCCUUUCUUAAUCUCUUAAGAAUUUGAUGCAUAAUUCUGUUAUAAGCAAUUUGGAACGAAUAAAAAUAUUUUUAGAAGUGGUAUUAGUACCAGAUAUUAUUUGUCACCUUUUAUGAAGCGUAGCUUGGUUUUAAAAUUUAAAAUGCUUUGCAUUUUGAGAGACUAAUUUAUAGGCAGUCUUCCACUGAGAAGGAAAAGCACCUUGGAUGUUUGUGGAGAGGUGAGCCUUAUUGUUAUAUCUGUGAAAUUUGCUAAUGUUGCAACCAUUGAAAUAAAGUGUUUGUUUACGUAACAGCAGUGGCAUUUCUCCUUCUCUUCCUUGUGGUUUUGUCCAACUAGAUGUUAUGAGUGGCAGUUGCAGUGACUGCUAAGUGUUUAAAUGAUGACACCAUUAUGUGAAGUGAUUUCAAAAUGAGAGAUUCCAGCCAAGAAUUACAUCUGCUCUCAUCUCCUUCAAAUCAUACUCUCUGGCUGUGCAGAUUAUGAUUGAUUUGUUUGUGACAGAUUGCAG
rnacentral:lncRNA from 12 species